GUGUCAGCAGCCGCGGUAAGACAGAGGGUGCGAGCGUUGUUCGGAAUUACUGGGCGUAAAGGGCGCGUAGGCGGUCUGUUAAGUUCGGUGUGAAAGCCCUCGGCUCAACCGGGGAAGUGCGCCGGAUACUGGCAGACUCGAGUACCGGAGAGGAGGGUGGAAUUCCUGGUGUAGCGGUGAAAUGCGUAGAUAUCAGGAGGAACACCGGUGGCGAAGGCGGCCCUCUGGACGAGUACUGACGCUGAGGCGCGAAAGCGUGGGGAUCAAACAGGAUUAGAAACCCUUGUAGUCC
rnacentral:rRNA from 1 species